CGGGAUUUCCUCCCCAUCGUGCGCGCGCGCCGUGGAAUAGCCACGCGAAUCUAGUCGUGGCUGUUAGGAAUCGGUCUUGGGGGUAUAAAGACCAAGCCUCGCCGUGCUCUUGUUCCGAGCCCUCCGAUAAAGCUGCCAGGGUCGAAACGCCAUUGGCGUGAGGUGCGUAGGUAGGGAAACUCGACGACACCGCUGUUGUUCCGCGUCUGCGCUAAUAUUCUGGUGGCCGCGGUAGAUCGAGGGGUUGCUCUUGAUGGUGGGCAACCUAGUCGAGGCAUCGGCAAGCCUGGGGGAGCCCUGGAACUUCACCAAUUGCUCACCGGAGAAUCACAUCCGCCGCGGGCCACACCGCCCCGUGGCUGUGGCUCGUCUCGACACCACCCCGG
rnacentral:lncRNA from 7 species